UCAAAACUUCCACAAAAUACUGUGGUGUUGCCCAAACAGUUAAAAAAGGCUUUUAGUGUUUUCAUGCUGCAAGUUAUACUGCGAGCUGUGACCACAGUUUCUGCUCUGAGCACAAGUGUGACUUUGGACUAAACACACCCUGCGUGCAGCUGGGAGGAGUAAGCCAAAGCGGAGCUCAGAGAGUUGCCUCGGGCAAAAAAAGAAAAGAAAAUGAACAGGUCUAAAAUGCUGAUUAUUCCCCACUGCUGCGAGGCUGCAUGGACACACACAAAACUGAGGCUGCUCUCAUUAGCUCACACAGAUGUCAGUGCUAGCGCCAGACACUGACUGAAUGGAGCCAUGGCUAAACCAAGAGUGUGAUUUUCAUCUUUCGAUGCCAAUGAUCUAAAUAUAAUAUCAACCGCCCAGCUCGAACAUAAAGCCACCUUAGCUGGACAUGGAAACAAACAAACCUGAGCAGAUGAUUCACAGGGAGACAUGAAACAAGAAUGAGCUUAGCGGACAGCAGUUAUGAAAAAGUAGUUUGUGCAUAUCACACAAGUGAAUUGAAGCUGGAGGUGCUUCUUGCCGUCUGGGUGAACCUCCAACACACAUAAACAAGAGUUGGGGCAUGAGCCUCCCAGCUGAGAUCAAUAUCACAUUUGAUUAACGAGUGAUGCUAUUGGAUCAUUGCCCGGUUUCAUCAGCAGCUGGAGUCAGAUAUCUGGCACACGGCAGACCUCUGGUCAUACUCACACAUCAGCGUGCUAAAAGCCAUCACAGCGAGAAGUCC